rnacentral:misc_RNA from 1 species
GCCACCACUUGAUGCCCCACAUCAGUUGCGGAAGCAUGAAUUGACUCCCUACUAAGAAGGAGCAUCAGGAAGCACGCCCUUUUCUUCACUCUUCCUUUAUGGAAUACAUUGUAAUGUCGAUACUCAUUCCAAUGUCUCUACUUCCCUCCAUUCCUCGUGAAAUAGUGGAAGAGCUGGAAGCUCAUGGGAUCGAUCAGUGUUUAUGGUAAUGAGUUUGACACACUCAAACUUGAAUGUUCUUGCGUG